rnacentral:rRNA from 1 species
AGCUAACGCAUUAAGCACUCCGCCUGGGGAGUACGACCGCAAGGUUGAAACUCAAAGGAAUUGACGGGGGCCCGCACAAGCGGUGGAGCAUGUGGUUUAAUUCGAAGCAACGCGAAGAACCUUACCAGGUCUUGACAUCCUUUGACCACUCUGGAGACAGAGCUUUCCCUUCGGGGACAAAGUGACAGGUGGUGCAUGGUUGUCGUCAGCUCGUGUCGUGAGAUGUUGGGUUAAGUCCCGCAACGAGCGCAACCCUUGAUUUUAGUUGCCAGCAUUUAGUUGGGCACUCUAAAGUGACUGCCGGUGCAAGCCGGAGGAAGGUGGGGAUGACGUCAAAUCAUCAUGCCCCUUAUGACCUGGGCUACACACGUGCUACAAUGGAUAGUACAAAGGGUCGCGAAGCCGCGAGGUGGAGCUAAUCCCAUAAAACUAUUCUCAGUUCGGAUUGUAGGCUGCAACUCGCCUACAUGAAGCCGGAAUCGCUAGUAAUCGUGGAUCAGCAUGCCACGGUGAAUACGUUCCCGGGCCUUGUACACACCGCCCGUCACACCACGAGAGUUUGUAACACCCGAAGUCGGUAGGGUAACCUUUAUGGAGCCAGCCGCCGAAGGUGGGACAGAUAAUUGGGGUGAAGUCGUAACAAGGUAGCCGUAUCGGAAGGUGCGGCUGGAUCACCUCCUUUCUAAGGAA